CCAGGGUGUUUAUGACCUGUCCCUGGCUCCACACAGCUCUUGUCAAUUUCUUCUAUUUGUCACUCUGAACUGUCAUUUAUAGUGAUAAGAAAAGAACAGAAGGCUCAGUAGAGGCGAACACCGAGGGAUGUUAAAGACAUCUGAGGACUCCCUGUUUUGCAUUUUGAGGACUAUUUUGAUCUCUGCCAGUUCAAAGUGGCCAAGAGGAGUCUGUAAGAUCCAUGAAUAUGUAUGCCCCGAACUGUAUGAUGAGGCCUCAAAACAGCAUCAGAAUAAAAAGCAUGCACCUGUAGAAUUCAUAUGCAUGCAACUGCAUCCAGAAUGGAAAUGACAGAACUCAUCUGAACCCCACAGUCCAUAAUAGAUCAACCUCAG
ensembl:lncRNA